rnacentral:rRNA from 1 species
CCUACGGGGUGCAGCAGUGAGGAAUAUUGGUCAAUGGCCGAAGGGCUGAACCAGCCAAGUCGCGUGAGGGAUGACGGUCCUAUGGAUUGUAAACCUCUUUUGUCAGGGAGCAAAGGGCGCCACGUGAGGCGUUUUGCGAGUACCUCUAGGAAAAGCAUCGGCUAAAUCCGUGCCAGCAGCCGCGUUAAUACGGAGUAUGCGAGCGUUAUCCGGAUUUAUUGGGUUUAAAGGGUGCGCAGGCGGAAUGGAAAGUCAGCGGUAAAAUUUCGGGUCUCAACCCCGUAGUGCCGUUGAAACUGGCGUGCGUGAGUGGACGAGAGGUAUGCGGAAUGCGUGGUGUAGCGGUGAAAUGCAUAGAUAUCACGCAGAACUCCGAUGGCGAAGGCAGCAUACCGGAGCGCAACUGACGCUCAUGCACGAAAGCGUGGGUAUCGAACAGGAUUAGAUACCCUUGUAGUC